rnacentral:rRNA from 1 species
GCUUGUCUCAAAGAUUAAGCCAUGCAUGUUCAAGUAUAGCAAGUGUACAGUGAAACUGCGAAUGGCUCAUUAAAUCAGUUAUCGUUUAUUUGAUGAUCUCUUGUUACAUGGAUAACCGUAGUAAUUCUAGAGCUAAUACAUGCGUCAAGCCCCGACUCACGAAGGGGUGUAUUUAUUAGAUGGAAACCAAUGCGGGGUAACCCGGAAUAUGGUGAUUCAUAAUAACUUUCGGAUCGAUUUAUCGAUGCAUCAUUCAAGUUUCUGCCCUAUCAGCUUUGGAUGGUAGGGUAUUGGCCUACCAUGGCUUUAACGGGUAACGGAGAAUUAGGGUUCGAUUCCGGAGAGGGAGCCUGAGAAACGGCUACCACAUCCAAGGAAGGCAGCAGG